GACGAACGCUGGCGGCGUGCCUAAUACAUGCAAGUCGAACGCUGAAGGAGGAGCUUGCUCUUCUGGAUGAGUUGCGAACGGGUGAGUAACGCGUAGGUAACCUGCCUGGUAGCGGGGGAUAACUAUUGGAAACGAUAGCUAAUACCGCAUAACAGUAGAUGUUGCAUGACAUUUACUUAAAAGGUGCAAUUGCAUCACUACCAGAUGGACCUGCGUUGUAUUAGCUAGUUGGUGGGGUAACGGCUCACCAAGGCGACGAUACAUAGCCGACCUGAGAGGGUGAUCGGCCACACUGGGACUGAGACACGGCCCAGACUCCUACGGGAGGCAGCAGUAGGGAAUCUUCGGCAAUGGACGGAAGUCUGACCGAGCAACGCCGCGUGAGUGAAGAAGGUUUUCGGAUCGUAAAGCUCUGUUGUAAGAGAAGAACGAGUGUGAGAGUGGAAAGUUCACACUGUGACGGUAUCUUACCAGAAAGGGACGGCUAACUACGUG
rnacentral:rRNA from 1 species